rnacentral:tRNA from 1 species
UGGGGCGUCGCCAAGCGGUAAGGCAGCGGGUUUUGAUCCCGCCAUCCGGAGGUUCGAAUCCUUCCGCCCCAGCCA